GACCUUUUGUGGUUCAUGAGCGUGAUGGUCGGGUUUUCACGCGCGUGUGUGAGAUGUGUCACCCUCAAACCUAGUGACGACGGCACAUUACCCAUCUGAAG